rnacentral:rRNA from 1 species
AGUCAUAUGCUUGUCUCAGAGAUUAAGCCAUGCAUGUCUAAGUAUAAGCGAUCUUAUACAGCGAAACUGCGAAUGGCUCAUUAAAUCAGUUAUAGUCUACUUGAUCGUAUCUUCUUACAUGGAUAACCGUAGUAAAUCUAGAGCUAAUACAUGCUAAAAAUCCUGGACGCGGCAACGCGGAAGGGACGAGUUUAUUAGAUUAAAAACCGACACCUCUCCGCGAGGGGAGGUAGCACAGGUGAUUCACAGUAACCGAUCGGAUCGUCGGCCCCGCCGACGACGAUGCAUACGAGUUUCUGCCCUAUCAACUUUAGAUGGUAGAGUAUCGGUCUACCAUGGUCGUAACGGGUGACGGGGGAUUAGGGUUCGAUUCCGGAGAGGGAGCCUGAGAAACGGCUACCACUUCCAAGGAAGGCAGCAGGCGCGCAAAUUACCCAAUCCCGACACGGGGAGGUAGUGACAAGAAAUACCAUUGUAAUGUCUCCUCGAGAGGCUUACGAUUGGAAUGAGUACAAUUUAAAUCCCUUAACGAGUAACGAUU